rnacentral:rRNA from 1 species
UAGUCCACGCCGUAAACGAUGGAUACUAGUUGUUGGGGUUUACCUCAGUGACUAAGCGAAAGUGAUAAGUAUCCCACCUGGGGAGUACGUUCGCAAGGAUGAAACUCAAAGGAAUUGACGGGGGCCCGCACAAGCGGUGGAGCAUGUGGUUUAAUUCGAUGAUACGCGAGGAACCUUACCUGGGCUUAAAUGUAGAGUACAUGAAUGGGAAACCAUUCUUUCCUUCGGGACUCUUUACAAGGUGCUGCAUGGUUGUCGUCAGCUCGUGCCGUGAGGUGUCGGGUUAAGUCCCAUAACGAGCGCAACCCCUAUUCUUAGUUGCCAUCAGGUCAUGCUGGGGACUCUAAGAAAACUGCCGGCGCAAGCCGUGAGGAAGGUGGGGAUGACGUCAAAUCAGCAGGCCCUUAUGUCCAGGGGCUACACACGUGCUACAAUGGUCGAUACAAAGGGGCAGGCUACCUGGUGACAGGAUGGCUAAUCUCUAAAAUCGGGUCUCAGUUCGAAUCGGGAGUCUGCAA